rnacentral:rRNA from 1 species
AGAGUUUGAUCCUGGCUCAGGAUGAACGCUGGCGGCGUGCUUAACACAUGCAAGUCGAACGAACCUUCGGGUUAGUGGCGGACGGGUGAGUAACGCGUGAGAAUCUGCCCUCAGGAGGGGGAUAACGGCUGGAAACGGCCGCUAAUACCCCAUAUGCCGAGAGGUGAAAUGAAUUUCGCCUGAGGAUGAGCUCGCGUCUGAUUAGCUAGUUGGUGUGGUAAAGGCUCACCAAGGCAUCGAUCAGUAGCUGGUCUGAGAGGAUGAUCAGCCACACUGGGACUGAGACACGGCCCAGACUCCUACGGGAGGCAGCAGUGGGGAAUUUUCCGCAAUGGGCGCAAGCCUGACGGAGCAACGCCGCGUGAGGGAUGAAGGCCUCUGGGCUGUAAACCUCUUUUAUCAAGGAAGAAGAUCUGACGGUACUUGAUGAAUAAGCCACGGCUAAUUCCGUGCCAGCAGCCGCGGUAAUACGGGAGUGGCAAGCGUUAUCCGGAAUUAUUGGGCGUAAAGCGUCCGCAGGCGGUCUUGAAAGUCUGUUGUUAAAGCGUGGAGCUCAACUCCAUUUCAGCAAUGGAAACUAGAAGACUAGAGUGUGGUAGGGGCAGAGGGAAUUCCCGGUGUAGCGGUGAAAUGCGUAGAUAUCGGGAAGAACACCAGUGGCGAAGGCGCUCUGCUGGGCCAUAACUGACGCUCAUGGACGAAAGCCAGGGGAGCGAAAGGGAUUAGAUACCCCUGUAGUCCUGGCCGUAAACGAUGAACACUAGGUGUCGGGGGAAUCGACCCCCUCGGUGUCGUAGCCAACGCGUUAAGUGUUCCGCCUGGGGAGUACGCACGCAAGUGUGAAACUCAAAGGAAUUGACGGGGGCCCGCACAAGCGGUGGAGUAUGUGGUUUAAUUCGAUGCAACGCGAAGAACCUUACCAGGGUUUGACAUCCUGCGAAUCCCUUGGAAACUUGGGAGUGCCUUCGGGAGCGCAGUGACAGGUGGUGCAUGGCUGUCGUCAGCUCGUGUCGUGAGAUGUUGGGUUAAGUCCCGCAACGAGCGCAACCCACGUCUUUAGUUGCCAGCAUUAAGUUGGGCACUCUAGAGAGACUGCCGGUGAUAAACCGGAGGAAGGUGUGGAUGACGUCUAGUCAUCAUGCCCCUUACAUCCUGGGCUACACACGUACUACAAUGCUACGGACAAAGGGCAGCAAAACUCGCGAGAGCUAGCCAAUCCCAUAAACCGUGGCUCAGUUCAGAUCGUAGGCUGCAACUCGCCUACGUGAAGGAGGAAUCGCUAGUAAUCGCAGGUCAGCAUACUGCGGUGAAUACGUUCCCGGGCCUUGUAC